rnacentral:rRNA from 1 species
AGAGUUUGAUCCUGGCUCAGAGUGAACGCUGGCGGCGUGGAUGAGGCAUGCAAGUCGAGUGGGCUUAUUGAAGCUGAGCGCAAGCAAGGUGGAGAUGAGUCAGCGGCAAACGGGUGAGUAACACGUGGGUAAUCUACCUUCGAGUUCGGGAUAACUUGCCGAAAGGCGGGCUAAUACCGGGUAAGACCACGUCCCCGCAUGGGGAUGAGGUAAAAGGCGGCCGCAAGGCUGCCGUUUGAAGAUGAGCCCGCGCCCUAUCAGCUAGUUGGUGAGGUAACGGCCCACCAAGGCUUUUGACGGGUAGCUGGUCUGAGAGGAUGUCCAGCCACAUUGGGACUGAGACACUGCCCAGACUCCUACGGGAGGCUGCAGUCGAGAAUCUUUAGCAAUGGACGAAAGUCUGACUAUGCGACGCCGCGUGUGCGAUGAAGGCCUUCGGGUCGUAAAGCACUGUCAGAGGGGAGGAUGCCCUUGACAUUGAAUACAUGUCAAGGGUGACAGUACCCUCAGAGGAAGCCACGGCUAACUCCGUGCCAGCAGCCGCGGUAAUACGGAGGUGGCGAGCGUUACUCGGAUUCAUUGGGUGUAAAGGGUAUGUAGGUGGCCUAGUAAGUCGAAUGUGAAAUCCCAUGGCUCAACCAUGGAACUGCAUUCGAAACUGCUGGGCUUGAGUGUGAGAGGGGAAAGCGGAAUUCCCGGUGUAAGGGUGAAAUCUGUAGAUAUCGGGAGGAACACCAGUGGCGUAGGCGGCUUUCUGGCUCGCAACUGACACUGAAAUACGACAGCUAGGGGAGCAAACAGGAUUAGAUACCCUGGUAGUCC